UGGCCCCAAACUGCACUUCACCACAGGGUGCCAUCUGUGUUCAGUGGUGCCAUCUCUCCUAGAUGGGUGACACCUAAAAGCUGUGUCCUGACUACCCCAUACCUGACAUCUACAUGAGAUCUCUGCCAAAUGCACCCAGUACAGCAGUUGCAGUGGGCCAGUGUAAUUGUAGUAAGAACCAAGCCAGGUGAUCGAGAGACCACUCACACUGGCACAAGACAGAGGGCAGCAGCAAUUGACAGGUGAAGAAGCCUCCAGCCCCUGGCACAGCCAGAGAAGGUCUGAGUUCUGCCUCUGGUCACAGCCCAAGAUUCUGUCCACACCUGUGUACCCAGAGGACCUUCAGGAUCUGAGGGGCUGUCAGUCACUCUUGCUCUUGGUUUCCUGCCCCUCCUCUGUUCCUGGGUCUGUGGCUCUUGGCUUUCCAGUGGAGAAUGACUUGUGCUGCUGCCCUGCUGCAGUGUGUGGCACUGAGGCAGCUAACAUGGAAAAUUGGGGAGGUAGCUGUGCCUGAGGAGCUACUGAAAGUCAUGAGCCCCAGGCUCCUGUAGGAACAGAGGCAGGCAAAGCCACUCUCUGAGGGCUGGUAACAGAGACCUCCUGCUGAGGGAGAAAGGUCUUGUAUGGGUUUACUCUGACCUCUAAUUAUGGUUUCAGGCCUGGUCCACGAAGAACCGGCACCACCUAGAAACAGACCCACAUGCCUAGAGGUGCCAGGGAAACCUCUGCAGAUCCACUGUGUGCAUGAGUCACCAGCCCUGUCUGGAGACAGCUGACCACCCUCCCUUCUGAACCUGGCUGAUGGUGAGGUUGGC
rnacentral:lncRNA from 1 species